rnacentral:rRNA from 1 species
UAGGGAAUCUUCCGCAAUGGACGCAAGUCUGACGAAGCAACGCCGCGUGAGUGAAGAAGGAUUUCGGUUCGUAAAACUCUGUUGUUAGAGAAGAACAGCGCAUAGAGUAACUGUUAUGCGUGUGACGGUAUCUAACCAGAAAGCCACGGCUAACUACGUGCCAGCAGCCGCGGUAAUACGUAGGUGGCAAGCGUUGUCCGGAUGUAUUGGGCGUAAAGCGAGCGCAGGCGGUCAAUUAAGUCUGAUGUGAAAGCCCCCGGCUCAACCGGGGAGGGUCAUUGGAAACUGGUUGACUUGAGUGCAGAAGAGGAGAGUGGAAUUCCAGGUGUAGCGGUGAAAUGCGUAGUUAUAUGGAGGAACACCAGUGGCGAAGGCGACUCUCUGGUCUGUAACUGACGCUGAGGCUCGAAAGCGUGGGUAGCAAACAGG